UACAGAGGAUGCAAGCGUUAUCCGGAAUGAUUGGGCGUAAAGCGUCUGUAGGUGGCUUUUUAAGUCCGCCGUCAAAUCCCAGGGCUCAACUCUGGACAGGCGGUGGAAACUACCAAGCUGGAGUACGGUAGGGGCAGAGGGAAUUUCCGGUGGAGCGGUGAAAUGCGUAGAGAUCGUAAGGAAGACCAGUGGCGAAGGCGGGUCUCUGGGCCGAUACUGACGCUGAGACGCGAAAGCGUGGGGAGCGAACAGG
rnacentral:rRNA from 1 species